GGAGGCGUAGCUCAAUGGUAGAGCACUUGCUUAGCAUGUAUGAGGCCCUGGGUUCAAUCCUUAGCAUCACUU
rnacentral:tRNA from 1 species